rnacentral:tRNA from 1 species
GCCAGUGUAGGUCAAGUGGUUAGACCGCACGACUUAUAAUCGUGUAAUUUGGGUUCGAUUCCCAGGGCUGGCACCA